UUUCCGUAGGUGAACCUGCGGAAGGAUCAUUAUUGAAACUUCAUCCGGGGCGCCGCGGCCCUCAGCACCGGUGGAAACGCCGUGCUGCGGGGGCCGCGCGUGCACUAGUCCAAACCAAACCCCUGUGAACCUUACGGGAUGGCCCGGGUUAGCGCCCGGUGCCGUUCCGCUUUAUACAAACACUUAUCAAAGAAUGAACUGAAGGCGGUCUGACCGCUGGAUAACAAACUGAAACAACUUUCAACAACGGAUCUCUUGGCUCUC
rnacentral:misc_RNA from 1 species